rnacentral:rRNA from 1 species
AUGGAUAAGUGGGCCAUCAAAAAGCUAGACAAAUAUAGAAGAAACUUUCUUUGGGCUGGGGAUGAGGAGACAAGCGGAAGUAAAUGCUUGGUAAAUUGGAAACAAUGUUGCUCCCCCAAAAGUCUCGGUGGCCUCGGAAUCAAAGAGCUAACCUGUUAUAGCAGAGCUUUGAGACUCCGAUGGUGUUGGUUCGAAUGGGAUGACACUGACAGACCUUGGAGAGGUUCCCGAAUUCCGUGCAAUGCAAUAGACAGAGACCUUUUCUCCGCCUGCACCAAGAUCAUUUUGGGGAACGGACAAAAGGCAAAUUUCUAG